AUUGAACGCUGGCGGCAUGCCUUACACAUGCAAGUCGAACGGUAACAGGUCUUCGGAUGCUGACGAGUGGCGAACGGGUGAGUAAUACAUCGGAACGUGCCUAGUAGUGGGGGAUAACUACUCGAAAGAGUGGCUAAUACCGCACGAGAUCUACGGAUGAAAGCAGGGGAUCGCAAGACCUUGUGCUACUAGAGCGGCCGAUGGCAGAUUAGGUAGUUGGUGGGAUAAAAGCUUACCAAGCCGACGAUCUGUAGCUGGUCUGAGAGGACGAUCAGCCACACUUGGACUGAGACACGGCCCAGACUCCUACGGGAGGCAGCAGUGGGGAAUUUUGGACAAUGGGCGAAAGCCUGAUCCAGCAAUGCCGCGUGCAGGAUGAAGGCCUUCGGGUUGUAAACUGCUUUUGUACGGAACGAAAAGCCCUGGGUUAAUACCCUGGGGUCAUGACGGUACCGUAAGAAUAAGCACCGGCUAACUACGUGCCAGCCGCCGCCGUAA
rnacentral:rRNA from 1 species